CCUCUCCCUCCCACCCCCAAUCCCCGGUUGCUGAAGGGGUACCCCUUCAGCAACUGGGGAUUGGGGGUGGGAGGGAGAGU